AAUUUUCUAAUUUUUCUGCAUAAAGUCUUAUUUCUAAUUAUUAAUUUUCAUUUUCAGAACAUGGAAAAUUAAGGCUAAGAUCAAUUUCGGAAAUACUAGCUGACUAUGAGGACAUUUUUUAAUGAGUGAAGUAAUUUGUAAAAACUCAGAAAGGCGAAUAACUACAUUCCAUCGUAACAAGUUAAAGAAAUCGAUCAUCCAAAAACAAGUAUUGGUUUUGUUCAACGAAUAUUUUAACUAUUGGAUUGUUUCAGAUCACUCGCCAUAACCUCAUUUAUACAUGAAAUAUCAAGAGGAAUGACAAAUAAAUAUUAGAAAUGUAUAUUCAAGAAAGUUAUUGGUUUGCGUUUAACGAAAUAAAAAGUAUGUAGUGACAAA